GGGUCAGUAGCAUAGUUGGAGAAUGCAUCAGCUUGCGAAGCUGAAGACCGCAGGUUCGAGUCCUGCCUGGCUCA
rnacentral:tRNA from 2 species